UACAGAGGUGGCAAGCGUUGUUCGGAAUUACUGGGCGUAAAGGGCGCGUAGGCGGUCUCUUAAGCGUGUGGUGAAAGCCCGGGGCUCAACUCCGGGUCGGCCGUGCGAACUGGGGGACUGGAGCUUGUCAGAGGCAGGCGGAAUUCCGGGUGUAGCGGUGGAAUGCGUAGAGAUCCGGAAGAACACCGGUGGCGAAGGCGGCCUGCUGGGACAGUGCUGACGCUGAGGCGCGACAGCGGUGGGGGAGCAAACAGG
rnacentral:rRNA from 1 species